rnacentral:tRNA from 2 species
GCGGAAGUAGCUCAGUUGGUAGAGCAUUAGCCUUCCAAGCUAAUGGUCGCGGGUUCGAAUCUCGUCUUCCGCUCCA